rnacentral:lncRNA from 1 species
AGAUUCAGGUUUCCUGGGAGGAUGGGGGAGACUAUUAGGAUAAAAAAUUUUGAAACCAAAACUGAAUUGUAAAGUAAUUACAAAUUACUUUAGGAUAAGAGAAUAUAAAGUUUAAAGUAUUCUGCAUCUUUUAUUUGAUUCAAAGGUAGGGGAAGAAUCGAAACUUAUUUUUCAAUGUUAAACUGCAGAUUGAGAGUGGCAAUCUGAUUUUUUAAAUUCUAAAUUCACACUGAUCUGUUUUAACUACACAUCAAAUAAAAUAAUGAAGAAAAUGAAAAAAAAUCUAUGGAAUGUGACUAUAAAAUUAUUUCGAAAAUGUAGAGGUUUAAAAGCUUUUAGAAAAAUGGAAAUAAAAUAACAAAGCACAUAAAAUAAAUGCC